rnacentral:rRNA from 1 species
CGACGCUGGCGGCGUGGAUUAGGCAUGCAAGUCGAACGGUAUUGGACCUUUCGGGGUUCAGAGAGUGGCGAACGGGUGAGUAACACGUAGGUAAUCUACCCUCAAGACGGGGACAACCCAGGGAAACUUGGGCUAAUACCGGAUGUGUGUAGUGGCUAUUUUUCUGAUUAUCAUUAUUUACGUAAGUGAGUAAUAAUAAGAAGGGAAAGUGGUUAUUACAUAAAAGGUGGCGUAAGCUGCCGCUUGGGGAUGAGCCUGCGUCCUAUUAGUUAGUUGGUGAGGUAACGGCUUACCAAGGCGAUGAUAGGUAGGCGGCCUUAACGGGUGGUCGCCCACACUGGGAUUGAGAUACGGCCCAGACUCCUACGGGAGGCAGCAGUCGAGAAUAGUCUACAAUGGACGGAAGUCUGAUAGUGCGACGCCGCGUGAACGAAGAAUCCCUUCGGGGUGUAAAGUUCUUUUAUACGUGAGCAGUGUCCUUUAUAUUAAUAGUAUAAGGGGAGAGAUAUUAGCGUAUGAAUAAGCAACGGCUAACUCCGUG